rnacentral:rRNA from 1 species
AUUGAACGCUGGCGGAAUGCUUUACACAUGCAAGUCGAGCGGCAGCACGGGGGCAACCCUGGUGGCGAGCGGCGAACGGGUGAGUAAUACAUCGGAACAUGCCCAGUCGUGGGGGAUAACACUUCGAAAGAAGUGCUAAUACCGCAUACGUCCUGAGGGGGAAAGCGGGGGAUCGCAAGACCUCGCGCGAUUGGAGUGGCCGAUGUCAGAUUAGCUAGUUGGUGGGGUAAAGGCCUACCAAGGCAACGAUCUGUAGCUGGUCUGAGAGGAUGAUCAGCCACACUGGGACUGAGACACGGCCCAGACUCCUACGGGAGGCAGCAGUGGGGAAUUUUGGACAAUGGGGGCAACCCUGAUCCAGCCACUCCGCGUGAGUGAAGAAGGCCUUCGGGUUGUAAAGCUCUUUCGGCAGGAACGAAACGGUGAGCUCUAACAUAGCUUGCUAAUGACGGUACCUGAAGAAGAAGCACCGGCUAACUACGUG